CGCACCCACGUAGGGCCUUGUGGUCGGGUCACCUACCCUGAGUUUUCACCCGAGGGCCCCCUCGGGGGGUUACCCCACGGUUUCUCAGGGCCAGGGAAUUGGACAGGACCCUUCCCAGGCUAAGUAACACUGCGGCGCCGUGGGCGGAUUUGAGAUCGCACGACCACGGCGAGCUCAGAGAGCCCCGCAGUUAGAAACGCAUACAAACACAAACACGGGUCAGCAAGGCAGAUAGCUGGGAUCAGGACCCGGGGCUACUGAUUGGUCAAAAGGUCAAAGGCUGGCGGGAUCGCAAAAGGGCGGGAAAUCCUAGGCUCAGGAUUGGUCGAGAGACCAAGGCGGUCGGGACGGGGGCACCUAGCCUUUGAUGUGGAUAGUUUAAAAGAAAACGCAGGGGCAGUAGGGAACUUCUCUUCUUCUGGAGUAGUGACACGGGGUCAACGACGAGGGAGUCAUCGGGCGAGCCGCCAGAUCGUCUGCAGGACGACCUGAGCGCCGCAAGGUCACCUAGGACUACAGACGCCUGGAAGGAAUGUGAACACGGACAAAACAAUCUUCACGUAGGGGCUACGAAUGUAUUGAAUCUGCACGUGGAGGCCAAAUGCAGAGGCCAGGAUUUGUAAACUCACCGAUCCAUGGAAUGAUGAAUACAUAUUCGAGGUCACUCUUCGGUUCUGAAUAAAAACAACAUGAGGUACGGUCCACUAAGCUAUGUAGCUCAUUUUCAUAAGCGACCUAGCAACAAUAGUUCAACGAAGUGGCUUAUCACCUGGAAAUUUACAGCAGCCAAAUGCCUGAAACGCAUGUUGAUUCUAAAUGUGGAGGGAAAAACUGGAGGACUCGGAGAAAAAUCCACACGACCACGAAGAGAGAGAAAAACAUGCAAACUCCAAAUAUACAGCAGGCAUCAGGGUCUGGAUCGAACCCACCUCCUCCUGUAUACUAGGUGAGCAAGUUAAUAUCUCGCCACAACGGCGUCCCAUCCCAAGGCCCAAGACAAGAUGCAAAACACCGAUGGUGUUUCACUGAAUCAGAUCCGUGGACGAAUGUGCUUACAUCGCGGGCUACGCAAUUUAUGUCUGUGAGGCCUUGUGUAUCUGGCGUAUUGUCCACCUAGAUCCGACACUGUUCAUACACACGUGGACUGGCAAGUCCUUCACAAAGGAUGCCGUUUCCUAGGAAGUGGACGUCACAAGCCAUGUCACAUUACUCACAAGUUGGUCAAUGUGGUCUCGUGUCGUAGCUUUACAUCCCAAUUACUCAAAAUAUAAUAGUCUAUCAGACAUGUCAUGUAAAAUAUAAACGUAUUUAACAUUACUAAGCUCUCCAGUACUACACUACGACCGUGUCCCUGUCGUGUCUGUGUAUGGAUGUCUAGUUCACUGGCCCUGUGUGUUUCUGCAGGGAACGUGUGCCCUGCCACUAAUCAUUUUCAUUCAGACACAAAGGGUCCCAUAGAUAGUCUCUGGUUUAGGCCAAUCAAUUUCAAAGACAAUGCGUACACUGUAAUCAAAGCAUAUUUUUAUGUAUUACCACAAGCAUGAUGU